UACAGAGGGUGCAAGCGUUGUUCGGAAUUAUUGGGCGUAAAGGGUGUGUAGGCGGCUCAUUAAGUCUUCUGUGAAAUCUACGGGCUCAACCUGUAACGUGCAGAGGAUACUGAUGAGCUUGAGUGUCGGAGAGGAUAGUGGAAUUCCCGGUGUAGAGGUGAAAUUCGUAGAGAUCGGGAGGAACACCAGUGGCGAAGGCGACUGUCUGGCUGACAACUGACGCUGAGACUCGAAAGCAUGGGGAGCAAACAGG
rnacentral:rRNA from 1 species